rnacentral:tRNA from 1 species
GGGUCCAUAGCUCAGCUGGUUAGAGCACCGUCUUGAUAAGGCGGGGGUCGUAGGUUCAAGUCCUACUGGACCCACCA